CCUCACUAGCCAUCAGCAUCCUUUCCAUCUGAAAUUUCACUGGAAAUCUGAAUGAACUUCCUCUGCACAAAUUACUCAGUCUUAACUGAGACACUAUGCUGCCCACUGAGGAUACAGGAAGGAAUCAAAUGGACAGAGUCUACAGCUACCCUCAUGGAUCAUAUAGGCUAAGGAUGUUGCCUGAUGGCUAAGCCCAGGGGGUGUUUUAGUGCCUUGUUUACAGGAUACUGGUCAUCUCCCCAGAUCAUUUUCUCAUUAGGACAGCACCAUGGAUGGAGUCUCCAGAUAAGUAUAAAAGGGACUCUGCUGCUUUUCCUACCCCCAUGUGCCUCCCAUUCAUCAUAAAGGAAGAAAGGAUUUUUCCUCAGCUAGUUGGCUGUUUCCUCAAUGGAGUGCUGUUGAACAGUUUGGGCGAGGUGAUUUGCUGUAAGGAACUGUCUUGGACAUUGCUGGGAGCUUGGCAUCCCUGGCCCCACCCACAAAAUGCUGUUCCAGUCAUUGUGACAACCAAUAAAUGUCCCUAUGCAUG